rnacentral:rRNA from 1 species
AUACGUAGGGGGCGAGCGUUAUCCGGAUUUAUUGGGCGUAAAGCGUGUGUAGGCGGUUUGUUAAGUCUAAGAUUAAAGCCCGAGGCUUAACCUCGGAUCGUCUUAAAAACUGGCAGACUUGGGUGGAGGAGAGGCAAGUGGAAUUUCCAGGGUAGGGGUUAAAUGCGUAGAUAUUAGAAGGAACAUCAGUGGCGAAGGGAGCUUGCUGGGCUGUUACGGACGCUGUUGCGCGAAAGCGUGGGGAGGAGAUAGGAUUAGAUACCCUAGUAGACAACGCCGGAAACGAUGAGUACUAAGUGUCUGGUAACCGGUGCUGAAGUUAACACAUUAAGUACUCCGCCUGAGUAGUACGGUCGCAAGACUGAAACUCAAAGGAAUUGACGGGG